GUGUUAUUAAGAUUAUUAAGAUUUUCAAUCAUACUUUCAUUUACAAAUAAAAAAAUGGUUGAUGUUCAUAUUAUAAUAAUUAAAUGCGUUUAAAAAACUCAUUCACUUAGAGACGGCCUUUCCAAACACUACUCUCAAGUGGACAAUAAUAGGUCAUAGGUGUUUUUAGAUACCAAUGACCUACUAUACUUAUGUUGUUCCACCGAAUACAAGGGCGAGACCCGUUUCGCCCAAACUUUACAUUUCCCAUUUAGCCCAAAC